rnacentral:misc_RNA from 1 species
ACAGAAUUAGCCGUGCACCUAGGCUUUUUAUUUUGCUACCGUGACAGCCUCUUGUUUCAUCUUCUGGUGCUCUGCUUGCAUGCAAGCAAGGCUUAACAAUUGUUUUGGCUUACAACUGUGUUUCCGGUUGUUGCCUAUAAUUUUUAAUGGUUUGAAGUGUUACGUUGGUUGAUGGUUAAAGUUAAAAAAAAAAGCCUAGGUGCACGGCUAAUUCUGU